rnacentral:rRNA from 1 species
UANGGANUCUUCCGCAAUGGACGCAAGUCUGACGGAGCAACGCCNCGUGAGUGAAGAAGGUUUUCGGAUCGUAAAACUCUGUUGUUAGAGAAGAACAAGUGCUAGAGUAACUGUUAGCGCCUUGACGGUAUCUAACCAGAAAGCCACGGCUAACUACGUGCCAGCAGCCGCGGUAAUACGUAGGUGGCAAGCGUUGUCCGGAUUUAUUGGGCGUAAAGCGAGCGCAGGCGGUUCCUUAAGUCUGAUGUGAAAGCCCCCGGCUCAACCGGGGAGGGUCAUUGGAAACUGGGGAACUUGAGUGCAGAAGAGGAGAGUGGAAUUCCAUGUGUAGCGGUGAAAUGCGUAGAUAUAUGGAGGAACACCAGUGGCGAAGGCGACUCUCUGGUCUGUAACUGACGCUGAGGCUCGAAAGCGUGGGUAGCAAACAGGAUUAGAUACCCUGGUAGUCCACGCCGUAAACGAUGAGUGUUAAGUGUUGGAGGGUUUCCGCCCUUCAGUGCUGCAGUUAACGCAUUAAGCACUCCGCCUGGGGAGUACGACCGCAAGGUUG